ensembl:snoRNA LOC120101358 small nucleolar RNA SNORA17
UCUGUCAGUAGGUGGCAGAGAGGAGAGAGGCUAUGUCUAGCUCAGUGUUCUGACCCAUGAAUAAUUAGCCUAACAUU